rnacentral:rRNA from 1 species
AUUGAACGCUGGCGGAAUGCUUUACACAUGCAAGUCGAACGGCAGCACGGGGGCAACCCUGGUGGCGAGUGGCGAACGGGUGAGUAGUACAUCGGAACGUGCCCGGUCGUGGGGGAUAACGUAGCGAAAGUUACGCUAAUACCGCAUACGAUCUGAGGAUGAAAGCGGGGGACCUUCGGGCCUCGCGCGAUCGGAGCGGCCGAUGUCAGAUUAGGUAGUUGGUGGGGUAAAGGCCUACCAAGCCGACGAUCUGUAGCUGGUCUGAGAGGACGACCAGCCACACUGGGACUGAGACACGGCCCAGACUCCUACGGGAGGCAGCAGUGGGGAAUUUUGGACAAUGGGCGCAAGCCUGAUCCAGCCAUUCCGCGUGCAGGACGAAGGCCUUCGGGUUGUAAACUGCUUUUGUAUGGAACGAAAAGGCUCUGGCUAAUACCUGGGGCUCAUGACGGUACCGUAAGAAUAAGCACCGGCUAACUACGUG